rnacentral:rRNA from 1 species
GACUCUGUUCAACGGCCGCGGUAUUCUGACCGUGCGAAGGUAGCGUAAUCACUUGUUCUUUAAAUAAGGACUAGUAUGAAUGGCACCACGAGGGUUAUACUGUCUCCCUUUUCUAAUCAGUUAACCUAAUCUCCCCGUGAAGAAGCGGGGAUAUUUUUAUAAGACGAGAAGACCCCAUGGAGCUUCAAACAAACAGCACUUGCUAGCCCACAUUUACUUCAUUAAGCCAAGCAUCCUGACUGCUAGUUUUCGGUUGGGGCGACCACGGAGAACAACCUACCCUCCGCGUUGGAAGAAGACUCUUCUUAACCUCAAGCUACACCUUUAAGUACCAAUAACUUGACAACUAUUGACCCAAUAAAAUUGAUCAACGAACCUAGUUACCCUGGGGAUAACAGCGCAAUCCAUUUCAAGAGCCCCUAUCGACAAGUGGGUUUACGACCUCGAUGUUGGAUCAGGGUAUCCCAGUGGUGCAGCC